UUACGGUCAUAUCACGUUGAAACAUUGACUCACGUAAGAUCACCGAAGGUAAGCAACGUCGAGCGUGGUUAGUACCUAGAUGGGCAACCGUUUCGGAAUACCAGAUGUU